rnacentral:rRNA from 1 species
AUUGAACGCUGGCGGCAUGCCUUACACAUGCAAGUCGAACGGCAGCACGGGGCAACCUGGUGGCGAGUGGCGAACGGGUGAGUAAUGCAUCGGAACGUACCUUUCAGUGGGGGAUAACGUAGCGAAAGUUACGCUAAUACCGCAUAUUCUGUGAGCAGGAAAGCAGGGGAUCGCAAGACCUUGCGCUGAUUGAGCGGCCGAUGUCAGAUUAGCUAGUUGGUGAGGUAAAGGCUCACCAAGGCGACGAUCUGUAGCGGGUCUGAGAGGAUGUUCCGCCACACUGGAACCGAGACACGGUCCAGACUCCUACGGGAGGCAGCAGUGGGGAAUUUUGGACAAUGGGGGCAACCCUGAUCCAGCCAUGCCGCGUGAGUGAAGAAGGCCUUCGGGUUGUAAAGCUCUUUCGGCCGGGAAGAAAUCGCACGGGCUAAUACCCUGUGUGGAUGACGGUACCGGAAUAAGAAGCACCGGCUAACAACGUGCCAGCAGCCGCGGUAAAAC